GGAAAUGUAGCUCAGCUGGCAGAGCAACGAGCCGUUAACUCGUGGGCCGUAGGAUCAUACCCUACCAUUUCCG
rnacentral:tRNA from 1 species